UGCCAGACUCCUACGGGAGGCAGCAGUGGGGGAUAUUGCACAAUGGGGGAAACCCUGAUGCAGCGACGCCGCGUGAGUGAAGAAGUAUUUCGGUACGUAAAGCUCUAUCAGCAGGGAAGAAAAAUGACGGUACCUGACUAAGAAGCCCCGGCUAACUACGUGCCAGCAGCCGCGGUAAUACGUAUGGGGCAAGCGUUAUCCGGAUUUACUGGGUGUAAAGGGAGCGUAGGCGGCAGGGCAAGCCUGAUGUGAAAGCCCGGGGCUCAACCCCGGGACUGCAUUGGGAACUGCCCCGCUCGAGUGCCGGAGGGGCAGGCGGAAUUCCUAGUGUAGCGGUGAAAUGCGUAGAUAUUAGGAGGAACACCAGUGGCGAAGGCGGCCUGCUGGACGGUGUACUGACGCUGAGGCUCGAAGGCGUGGGGAGCAAACAGGAUUAGAUACCCGGGUAC
rnacentral:rRNA from 1 species